rnacentral:rRNA from 1 species
GACGAACGCUGGCGGCGUGCCUAAUACAUGCAAGUUGAGCGAUGAAGCUUGGUUCUUGCGCCAAUUUGAAGAGCAGCGAACGGGUGAGUAACGCGUGGGGAAUCUGCCUUUGAGCGGGGGACAACAUUUGGAAACGAAUGCUAAUACCGCAUAACAACUUUAAACAUAAGUUUUAAGUUUGAAAGAUGCAAUUGCAUCACUCAAAGAUGAUCCCGCGUUGUAUUAGCGAAUUGGUGAGGUAAAGGCUCACCCAGGCGAUGAUACAUAGCCGACCGGAGAGGGGGGUCGGCCACAUGGGGACGGAGACCGGGCCCAAACGCCUACGGGAGGCAGCAGUAGGGAACCGUCGGCAAUGGACGAGAGUCUGGCCGAACGAGGCCGAGUGAGUGAAGAAGGUUUUCGGAUCGUAAAAAUCGGUUGGUAGAGAAGAACGGUGGUGGGAGUGGAAAGCGCAUCAAGUGACGGUAACUACUCAGAAAGGGACGGCUAACUACGUG